rnacentral:lncRNA from 1 species
GCUGCAGGGCGGCAGGCAGCCGCGGCGCAUGGAGGAGGAUCUGCCCUGCCGCACGAGGCGACGUGCGCGGCCCCGGCCGGAGGGCAGCGACCGGCGGGCACGGCAGGGCAGGACACGGCACAGCAGGCGAACUACAACCAAGCGUUAGCAGAAAUAUCAAAGCUACCUGAACAAACCUCUCUAUGAAAGCGUUCCUCCCCUGCUGCUGCUGCUCAUGAUAACGAUGUCCAACACAAUAAGACAAAUUUUCACUUUGCAAAUCAUACGUACAAUGCCACUGCCAGUCCUAUCUUUUGCAGCAUUUUUCUGUGGAAGUGAAUGAUUGAAGAAUUCACAAACCAGCCGAUUCUGUGUACAAAAAUGUUAUGAAUAAAAAUAUAAAAAGAAUACCAUGAAGAUCAGCAGAAGUUGACUGAGGUCUGUUUCUGUGCUUGAAACGCAAGUGCCUGUUUCCAAAAGUUUUAUUAAAGGAUGUAUUAAAAUCAAGAGCAUCUAUCUCACAAUCAUUAAGAGCCCUGUAAUAAAUCAAUGCCCAGACAAAGUCUGUUUCCAAGAGCUAAGAGAAAUAAAGAGAACUGUCGCAUCUGCAUUCGUAGGUUGCAAAAUGUUGCCUUUGGUGGGGUGAUUGUGCAGCAGAGGAACAAUUUUCUCACUUGUCUGUUUAGAGACUUGGCAUUACAUGUGGAUCCCUGAACUUUCCAGCUGUUUUCUGCACCAUCUUGUACCUGUGUAUUGGUCUGUUACCCUAACCAGGCAAUAUACCUGAAGGAGACAAUAAAGAGAAGUAACUGCCAUUACUUUACAC